rnacentral:rRNA from 1 species
GACGAACGCUGGCGGCGUGCUUAACACAUGCAAGUCGAACGGAGUGGCGAACGGGUGAGUAACACGUGGGUGAUCUGCCUUGCACUUCGGGAUAAGCUUGGGAAACUGGGUCUAAUACCGGAUAGUGCAAGAUGAGCUCGCGGCCUAUCAGCUGGUUGGUGGGGUAAUGGCCUACCAAGGCGUCGACGGGUAGCCGGCCUGAGAGGGUGUACGGCGACAUAGGGACUGAGGGACGGCCCAGACUGCUACGGGAGGCAGAAGUGGGGAAGAUUGCACAAUGGGCGGAAGCCUGAUGAAGAGACGUCGCGGGGGGGAUGAAGGUCUUCGGGGUGGAAACUCCUUUCGACAGGGACGCGGUACCUGUAUAAGAAGCACCGGCUAACUACGUGCCAGCAGCCGCGGUAAUAC